UCAGGAACUACUUGCGAUAGCAA
rnacentral:snRNA from 1 species